GGGGCGUUAGUGAUAGCGGCAGCACAUUGGUCCUGCAAACCAGUAGGAAGGGUUCGAAUCCCUUACGCUCCACCA
rnacentral:tRNA from 1 species